UAGGGAAUCUUCCACAAUGGGCGAAAGCCUGAUGGAGCGACGCCGCGUGCAGGAUGAAGGCUUUCGGGUCGUAAACUGCUUUUCUGAGGGAAGCGGUACCUCAGGAAUAAGAGUUGGCUAACUCCGUGCCAGCAGCCGCGGUAAUACGGAGAACUCAAGCGUUACCCGGAAUCACUGGGCGUAAAGCGUGCGUAGGCGGUUUGUUAAGUGAGAUAUGAAAUGUUACGGCUCAACCGUAAAAGGUAUCCCAAACUAACAAACUAGAGGAUGGUAGAGGUCAGUGGAAUUGCUGGUGUAGGAGUGAAAUCCGUAGAUAUCAGCAGGAACACCAAUGGCGUAGGCAGCUGACUGGACCAUCCUGACGCUCAGGCACGAAAGCGUGGGGAGCGAACGGGAUUAGAUACCCGUGUAGU
rnacentral:rRNA from 1 species